UUCUAUGCAUGUUUGGUUACCAACUGCACCUUUCAAACAAUGUAUCAGACACAUCUUAGAAGUAACAAAUACAAACCAACAAACAAUGUCAAAUCACUGGUAAUACAAUAAAAUAUGUAAUCCCAUUUACAUAAGCUCCAAUAAACAUUAUAGACUCACUAACCAUAACAAAUGGUUAUGGAUAUGCAACAAAAAUCAAAGUACGAAAUAGGAAAAAUUUAGCGCAACUCCCGAAAUUGUAUUUGUACAAAUUCAGAUGGGGAAGAGUUGCCCAGAUGUGCUGCCAUCUCUUUGAUAAUAUGCAAGUUUGAACUGCCAAUUUGGUGUGGGUGAAAGAGAGAAUAUGAUGAUUACCACUACAACAACAGGAACAAGAACAACUAACAGAUGAUUAUAAUUAUGAUAAUCACAUUUGGAAUUCAUGCGAUAUGAAUUCGGGAUCUGGGUAUGAUCCAAACCCGUUCUACGCCGACUCUUUUGUUGAGUGGAAUAUGAGAGCGCCAUUGUAGAUCAUAUACGAAGCUUACGAAGGUGAAGAAGAUGAUCGGAACGAUGAUGUAUUAAUCGAGAAACAAGAGAAAGCAAUUUUGGGUAUUGAGAGAUAUCCUUCUUUGUCGUUGUAUUACCAAGAUGCAAGUUUGAACUUUCUUCGUACUGCUGCGCACAAAACUCAUUUUGUUACAGUUUGCCUUCAACACAGUAAACCACCAAUACUAAUUUCCUAAAUUAAGGAAUCCUAAUUGCACUAAUAUUCCCCUAAAUUAAGGAAUCCUAAUUGCACUAAUAUUGUAAAUAAAUAUGGGAAAGUGUAUUACUUUUGUAAUUAUUUUAUAGAUGUACUAUUAUUGUAAUUAUUUUUAAAAAUGUACUAAAAUAUGUAAUUAAUCCUUAAAAUUUUAUAUUAAAUUAAAAUUGUGAAACAUAUCCAAUACAUGAGAUUUGAUAGAAUUAUAAGGUAUUUCCUACCUGUUACAUAUCUUUCUAAAACAAUUAAAAUUAAUAUGUAUUCACUUAAAUACCAAUCAAAAGGUCGACACAAAUAUUUGUAAUAUAUAUAUAUAUUUAAUAACAAUGAAAUAAUCAAGAGUUUGGGACCAACAACAUACACACACAGAGUUGGAUUCUUAGUUGAACAGAGGGAGUUUUGUAUUGAAUAACUCUUCGAUGGGUACCUGGGAUUUAAUUUACUGGAAUGGCAAGGAUCAACUAUCUCUAUGUUUAUAUUCUGAGGUGUUCUAUUAAAACUUCCCCAUAUCUUUUGUAUGAUAUCAAUCAUAUAACAUGUGAAUCAAAUUCACCACUAUCUAUCUAUAUAUGUAAUGUCAAGACGUUUAUGAUUGGAAAAUAGAUAUUUUCACAUAAAAAAAUAAUAUUCGAGUCAUGUUAUGUAUUGCGAUUAAUUUACACCGUAUUACAAUUGUGAAACAUAUCAAUUGAUAGAAAUUAUAAGUAGACUCCACUUGUUACACAUCCCUCCAAAAAAGUUGUCAUUAAUAUUUAUCCACAUAACUGAGAAUCAAAAAAUCUACGUAAACAUUCGCAAUAUAUAUCUUUUUCCAUAAUAUUUUCAUAUGAAUCAAUGUGAAACCCACUUAUUAUUUAUGUAAGAGACAUAAUGUGGAAAUAUUAUUUUUCCAUAUGAAAAUAUAAGUUACCUAUAUUGUUCUAGAAUGAAAGGACAUGCCACCAUAUUUUUCUAACCAGGUAGAGAGAAACAAUCAUAAUUGAAUUAUCCAAAAUUCAUCUACAUGAGCUUAAUAGGAUGCAUUUUGCUGAUGAAAUCUUAGUCUAGCGGUUAAGAUCGAGGUAUUGUGAUAUUUAGGUCUCAAAUUUGUUGGUGAAUUUAUUUCUUCCUCCUUUAGUGAGGUUUGAUUGGUUAUUGAAAUUAUAAUAAUGAUGAUGUACUUAAUUAUGAAAUUACAUUAUACUAGUUGAUAGCCCGUGCAAUGCACGGGCUAGUUCGAAGAAUAGAAAAUUCUUUUUGUUCUUUAAAAUCUACACUAUCGUUAUUCGAAUAGGUAAUAUCAUCAACAGGGGUGGGGGCAGAUGUUAUGUACCUAUCAAUAUAUAUUUAUACGUAUACAUCAAAAACAAAAAAAUUAUACAGCUCUGAUUGUGGAACACCUCUCAAAACCAAACAUCAAUAAAUCAGUUUGAUGUUUGUGUAUAAAUUAUUUGUAAAUUUUGUAUGCAUGCCUGUAAACAUGUCUCCAGUGUUAUCAUUCAUUUUCAAGUUAAAGGCAAUGCUUCUAAACUGUAAUAUCUCGAUGGCAUAAAUAAGUUGGAGAACAUGUUCAAUUUAAUAAUAUUCCUAUUUUUCCAUUGAAACUAUGCAACCUACUUCGCUAAAAUGAAAACAUUCUAGCAAGUAGAUUGAGAAUCCUAGCCGUGUAUGGUAUUUUCAAGUAAUUCAAAGAAACAAUAGUCUGUGAAUAACUCUAAUAUUAAGCAACAUUAAUGCAUUUAACAAACUGAUAUGCUCAUAUAUACAAUCGAAACAUAAUAGUUAUUAUUUUUUCAGUAUAGAACAAAAACUACAGCCUUGAAGACAACUAACAAUAGAUAAAAUUAAUAGUUUAAAUACAAAUGCAUAAAUUGGAAUAUAUACAAAGAAAGAGGUACAUACUCUUAUGAGGAAAAAGAGGAUCGACUCUGAAUCUCAUAGUUCAAUAUUAAUUUUGGGAAAAUUUCAUUUAGUACUAUCACAUUAUUGUAAUAUUAUCAAAGGAUACCAAAUCAAAUUCUAAAAAAUGAAGUAAAAAUUUGAGAAUUUGAUACAUGUUGUAUACAUAAAUUAAAAUACAUAUGCUUAAUCCUUUACUGUUGAAAUUAGAAAACUCCAUCAUAAAAAAAGCAAAAUAACAAUGCAUGUAAUACAAUUAGAAAUUGAUCUUGGUAGUGCACAAACCAAGAGGUGCCAUGUAAGAGGUAUUAAUUAUCUGCCAAAUAACUUAGAAAUCUGACUAAAAAACAAACUCCUACUCUACAAAAUAAUCUCUUAUAAUACCACACACAUGUGAAAUAUCAAGAAUGUAUAUUCUUGCAAGUACUACCUUGACAUUGUUUAAAAAUACCAAGAAUGAGCACUAUGCUAUUAAAUCGCCGACAGAAAGCAUUGCAUCAGUAGAAACAAAUUGCGACUUUGACACACCAAAGCAGUGAUUUGAUGUGAGCAUUAGUGCCUCCUAUCAUGAGAACACUACUGCUGUCAUGCUCAAUGCGAAUAUUCUAUACCACAUCCAUUAGAAAAUGGAAUAAUUUAGAUUCUGAGUUGGUAUCAUUUAAGAUACAAAAUAGCGAAUUUGUAACUCUUUCCAUAAAGUAACUAUCUCAAGCUUGCCACUGACCUUACAAUUAUUGCAAGAUCAGAACUAAACCCCAACCAUUGGAAGAACAAAAAAUAGAUUUAAAAAAAAUUCAAAAAUGAACUCCCAAGUAUGAAUAAUAAUUUAUAAAAUGAAGACAGAAUUCAGAAAAAUAUUUCAUUGUCUGAGUCAGUAUAAUUGCCAAAUCUAAUACAGAACUGCAAACAAAUUGAUCCCACGUUGACAAAAGAAUACCAAACUGUGGCCCUUGGUACUUAUGAGCAAUAAUAUAGUUGGUGAGAGAAAUGGUAAAAAGAAGAAAGCAAUAUAACUAAAUUCAAUAAAAAAAAUCUUCAAAAUUAAAUUUUCCCUUUGCUGGGGUUAUAAAAACACAACUCAUCAUGACUGUAAAAAUUUCAAAUCACAAAAUACCAAUCAAGCAGAUUAAAUUGAAAUAUAACAGUCCAGUAUCUUUAUACAGGGAAAAUUUAUUUAUAAAAAAAAUAUAUAUAUAUAUAUAUAUAUAUAUAUAUAUAUAUAUAUAUAUAUAUAUAUAUAUAUAUAUAUAAAGAAUAAGCUUCAAAAUAACUAAAAAGUGGUACCUUUACCGCAAAUUGAAGGAAUGGGUAGUGUAGACUUGACACACUAAUUCACAACAUGAAAAAAAAAUCAAAUUUAAAUCAGCAAUAAACUGAACCUACACAUAGGUAAGUGAGGUGAAAAACAAAGCAAAAGAAAUUAAAAAUUACCCCUAAAAUAUAAUCCUCCUAAUUAUUUGAAAAUGAUAUACAUAAAUGACACACCUGAAGGAAGAAAAGAAAGAAAGUACACUUGUUUAACAUUUAGAAACUUAAAAUUUGCAUAAAUCAGAAACUUAAAAUUUGCAUAAAUUAGAAAUAAAACUACCAAAAUAGCUUUUACAAAAAACAUAUUGCGAUCACAGAGAGAAGAGAAAGGGGGAAAAUAUUAAAAGAUAAAGAAAAAAACUAAUUACUACUACUAUUUUAGUUAGACAUACUGAAUAUUGGCAUGCUGAAUAUUGUCUUCAAGGAUUUUGAGAGAAUCCUUGAAAGACUUUCUCAUAGAUCCUCCACCACCUACGUUGUACAUCUUCGUCCUCUUUCCUCUUCCUUGUCUGAAAAUUUAAUCCUUAGAAGAACCAAACAAAAUAAAAAAACUAAUAGAAAGCUGAAUGAAUCAUGACAAUCCUAAAAUGUUUCAAGAUAGAAAGUGUGCCUCCAUUACUUGUACAUGCACUUUUUUAUGAAAGAAUAGCAAACCAUUAGAAUCACUUCGACCAUAAAAUAGGGCCAAAUAUUUAUAAAAUCUUUAGUUGCUCACAUAACUUAGUGCCCUUAGACGUUGUAUCUAAUCUCAUCACCUAAUAUUGUUGUUUUAAGGAAACUUGUUAUGCUUCUUGAAUUUGUACUUUGAACUAAAACACCAUUAAUAAAACUUAUGGCUCCAAUUAAUUUAAAUUUUCUGUGAGAUGAAACUUGAAAAAGUUUCUCCCAAAGUUCUCAAGCAACUAUACAUAGUGUUGUAUAAAACCCGUUAUUCAAAACUGUAGAAGAUGAAAUCUAAUGACUAUCACCACUAAAUCAUGCUAUUCAUGUGAAACCCUGAAGGACUUUUUUUUUUGUAAUCCAUACAACAGGAGUCAAAUAAGAAAAGAUAAAAUCUAAAUAAAUUAGCCAAAUAACUUUCUAGAUGUACCAAGAUGGAGGUUUAUAGUUACUAAGGAAAUACUGAGAGACAGAGAGACAGAGAGAUUCCGUUAUUUAAUUAGAGAACGAGCAUACCAUUCCAGUAGAUCUUGGAAUAAACAGUAAAAACUUGUGAUCAUAGUUGUAAUCUUUGGUUAAGAGGUCUGCACAAAAGCAAGAAAUUCUCUUAAUAAACUGAGUCUGAAACUGGCAGUUGAAACAAAUCAAUAGUAUUGUAAAAUUGUUUAAAACCUAAGCUGGAACUGGCCGCCAAGAAGCUUGUUGGCUUGUAAGCUGACAAGUUAUGGGUAAGAGGUUGAAUAUGGUGUAUUAAUGUGGUGUUAUUGAAAGCAAGAUAUCUCAAAUAAAAUCUAUGUUCGGAUAAUAAUUAUAGUUUUUAAAUAAUUUAAAAAAGGUUGGGAAGACCACAUUGAAGAGUAAACACUUCCAAAUUCUUUAGUGAGAAAUUUCAACAAUGUAACUCAUAUUUUGGGAUAAAAUAUAAACAAUUAGUUUAACAAUUGGAUCAACAGGGGAAAAAUGGUUAAUUUCAGGGAGGAACACAAUAAUUAAGUUAAUACAAAAACAAAUAUCCAAUAAAAAAUAAUAAUUACAUAUGGUAUCUCUAUAAUAGAACAGAAGAAUUAUGCAGUUAUAAAUCAAUGUUUCAGAGAGGAAAUUAUUAUCUUAUAUUCACAAACCAAGAAACUCUUUUAUACACGGAAAAGUAUGGAUUCAAAUAUUACCUUUCGCAGAUCAAUGGAAAGCACCGACCUUCUCUCGUUGACACUGCUACAAAUCCACCUUGUUCAUCCCCUCGUCAGAGUCAACCUCGUCCAAAAACAUCAAGUAACUUGAAUAAAAGCCGGUUGCUAAGAUUUAUUGGAGUUUUAUAACAAUGAUUAACCUUUGCAUCCAAAUUGAAAAUAGUAAACUCCCCUACUUACUGAAAGUCUCACCUUUCACAAUCUCACUUGAAACCAGGAUAUCCUCCUUAACUAAUAAGCUCAGACUCCCCAACUUUACACUCACAUUAACAACUUACGUAGUUUGACUAACACAUAAGAUCAACCACCUUCCAAUGAAAAUUUUCAACUGAACUAUACACUACUUGCUCAGCUAUCGGGAGAAAAUAAUGUUGCUUAAUAUAGUAAUUUUGUUUUUUACAAAUAUAUUACAAAUAUAGGCUCAUUUUAAUCAGAGUACUUCUAACUGCUAAAAAAUAUGUUUGAUGUUUUUUUGUUUUUUCUUAAACUCCUAAAUCAAAGAUAUUAAAAACUGUAAUAUGGAGAUAUCAAAUCCCAAGCUUAAAAUUAAGCCAUAAGCUCCUAAAAGCUAUUGAGACAUGCACUAAUUAGGCAUCAAAAUAAAGCAUUAUAAUAUAUAAAUCAUAAUGUAAAGUGAGACAUCAUAAAUCAAUUUGAAUUCAUCUCAAUUGGAAUUAAAAACUUACAAAUUGAUUGCCUAUAAAGAUAUUUAAGUUGAUUCGUUCGAGAUUUACUCAUUCGAUAAUCGUGUAAAUCUCGUCCGGUGAUUCCUCCCGUUAAUCGUGCAAGUCGCGUCUUUGAUUUAUAAAUUCGUACGAUUUUUUCUCUAAAACUAUUUAAGGAUGUAAAAAAUUAGGGAUGUUGAAUGGUUAUCGAGUGAAUAGAUGGAUAAGAAGAGAUUGGGCGACUUGAAUAUGGGCAGAGGAAAGGAGAGGAAGGGUUGUGGAAAACCCCUCACCUUCUGCCGCACUGCUAAAGACGUCUCUCGUAGCAGCAAGAAUCGCCUGAGGAUGGAUGAAAACUAUGUUCUUCUAGUCCUUCUCCGUGACUAAGAGAUCAAACCAACUGAUUGAUUACUGAUGAAGAGAUGGGAUUUAUAUAGUAAGAGGAGAUGUAGAGAUGGGUAUAUGAUUGGGCAAUUAAGAAUUCCUUAGUCAAGUGACACUAAGAAUAGAGGAAGAGAUGAUUGGGAUUUAUAUAGGGACAGAUCGUUGCUAAGGAUGAUUAUGAUUUAUGAGGAAGAUGAAGCGGAAGAGAUUAGCCUAACUCGGUAAAUAACUUAGUGAAAUCAAAAGAAAUUGGCUCAAAUUGAUUAAGAGUUAACUCUAAAUUGGAUUGCCUAGGAUCGUUUUUGCUGCCUUUAUAUUUUAUAUAUAAGGUACUAAUAAUUGCUCGUGCCUGAAGGCACGGCGUAACGAAAAAUUAGAUUAAAAUUCAAAAAAUAUUAUAUUAUCUAAAGACACAUACCACCACAACAAUUAAUACAUACUCAAUCAUCAACACAUAUCCAACCACCAAAACAUCAAGCUAGUCGGUACUAAUUUCAAGAAAUUUCGGCAGAGUUUCCUUUAAAAAUAGAUAUCCAGAAAAUUCUAAAUCUGUCUACAAAACUUACAAUCAUCAAUACAUAUCCAAACCACCAAAAAAACCAUCAAUCCAUACCCAAAGAUCAUCAUAACCAUGUAUAAUUAGUUAACUUUACAAAAGAAAAACACACAAAUACAAACAUGCAAAAAAUAGAGAAACAACAUGUUAAGCAUAAGACCCAUUACUUUACAGCUUAGACCAAGUAUUCUUUACAGCUUACACAAAGUAUCCUUCAAUGUAUACAUAAAAAUAUUUGAAAUAUAAAAAUUAUCGAAAUAUGUGA
rnacentral:lncRNA from 1 species